UUGAACGCUGGCGGCAUGCCUUACACAUGCAAGUCGAACGGUAACAGGUCUUCGGAUGCUGACGAGUGGCGAACGGGUGAGUAAUACAUCGGAACGUGCCCGAUCGUGGGGGAUAACGGAGCGAAAGCUUUGCUAAUACCGCAUACGAUCUACGGAUGAAAGCAGGGGACCGCAAGGCCUUGCGCGGACGGAGCGGCCGAUGGCAGAUUAGGUAGUUGGUGGGAUAAAAGCUUACCAAGCCGACGAUCUGUAGCUGGUCUGAGAGGACGACCAGCCACACUGGGACUGAGACACGGCCCAGACUCCUACGGGAGGCAGCAGUGGGGAAUUUUGGACAAUGGGCGCAAGCCUGAUCCAGCCAUGCCGCGUGCAGGAUGAAGGCCUUCGGGUUGUAAACUGCUUUUAUGUGAGGAUAAACCUAGAUUUGCGAAUCUAGCUGAAGGUAUCACAUGAAUAAGGAUCGGCUAACUCCGU
rnacentral:rRNA from 1 species